AUAGGAACUGGUGGAGAGAACCUUUUGGUAAGGGACUAUUCAUUGAUAGUCAUAGUUUCGGGCGAUGUUGGUUCUUGGAUUGAGUCCAGAAAUGGUGGUCGUAAUCAACACAGGAGAUAGGACAUUGUGCAUAGGAGCAUCUACCUUCAUUGCUGAAUUAUGUUUUGGAAAUCAAGCAUUAAUAGCGACAAAGGCAAUAAUCUUCCCAUUUUCCUCGCAGGUGAAUGUGGAAGGUGGAACAAGUAUUGCUGAUGAAGUCUAACCUGAGAAGCCAACUAAAAAUAAAGUUUUUGUGAAGCCAAAACUUGUAGCUAUAAUUGCAACUAGUUUGGAUCUUGAAGAAGUUAAGAAAGAAAAAAACAAGCAUGAUCCUGUUCCCCUUUGUACAAAUUUGUACACAAAAAACUCUUGCUUUCUUGUUGGUUUCUAUUUCCAGUAGUAACUUUUACCAUUUUCUUAAUAGAGUUGGUGAUCACAUGUAUUUCUAACUUAAGAUAAAUAAAAGUUUGAUAGCAAUCUUGAUUCA